CCUACGGGAGGCUGCAGUGGGGAAUAUUGCACAAUGGGGGAAACCCUGAUGCAGCGACGCCGCGUGAGUGAAGAAGUAUUUCGGUAUGUAAAGCUCUAUCAGCAGGGACGAGACCAGACGGUACCUGACUAAGAAGCCCCUGCUAACUACGUGCCAGCAGCCGCGGUAAUACGUAGGGGGCAAGCGUUAUCCGGAAUCACUGGGUGUAAAGGGAGCGUAGACGGCUGAGCAAGCCUGAAGUGAAAGGCGGGGGCGCAACCCCCGGACUGCAUCGGGAUCUGUACGGCUGGAGUGCAGCAGAGGUAAGUGGAAUUCCUAGUGUAGCGGUGAAAUGCGUAGAUAUUAGGAGGAACACCAGUGGCGAAGGCGGCUUACUGUACUGUAACUGACGUUGAGGCUCGAAAGCGUGGGGAGCAAACAGGAUUAGAUACCAGGGUAGUC
rnacentral:rRNA from 1 species